rnacentral:sRNA from 1 species
UGUGGGCUACGUCGAAAUUUCACAAAACAUUGAAAUAUGAAUAAAAUGGAAUUGAAGUGUGACUCUUCGAUAAUUACGAAAACUAUAAUGAAAUUCCACGCAAUUCAAGUAAUUCUCAAGCAUUCCCGUUGAUCUUUAGGGACUUCAAUAAAGUGCGAUAAUAAUAGUGUAGUGACUCACAGUUAUUUACCGCCUUAGCCAAGGGAAAAAUAAUGUCAAUAGGUUGUGUAACCCAGUGUUUCCGGCUCCAGUUGAUAAGGGGUAGAUGAAGUCUAGAUUCUCAGUGGCAUUUAUAUAGAAAUAAAUGGUGCUUAUCGAAUGGUAUAUAUUGUAUAUCCAACUCAAAUUGUGCUCAGUUCAAAAGUGUCCAGCAACCAAAGGAGUUCAACAUGAAACUCUUUACCAUCAACUUUUUCAAAUUACUUUUUAUUCUUCUACUAUCAAUCGUUAUUGAACCGGAGGGCGGACCUCAAGAAUGUCCGCGCUUUUCGAUGGAGAUCAAAAAUGUUAAACAAGAAAAAACAAGGACCUACUAUACAAAAAACAUAUCUUAAACGGCACUUGGAAUCUCUAACUAAUUUAAGUAUUUAAUUUAAAACAUAAUACACAACGUAAAACGUCUUAAAAAUGUUCAAAACAAGUUCACACGUUUUAAUUCGAUUUGAAACAAUUAAUUUAUUUUGCUAUAAAGUGGAAAUGUUUUGCAAAUGGAUAUAUUGAUCAACAGAGCAUCUACGAAUAUCUUAUUAAUUGUCAGUUGGACUACUUGAAAUAAAAACUCACGCACUAAUCUCUACAA